rnacentral:rRNA from 1 species
AUGGCAAGCACCCGCAGAGAGCUGCGCUAUCGCGCGCAGGCGUGGGGGAGAACCCGCAGCGAGCUGCGGUAUCUAGCGCAGGCAUCCGCGAGGCAAGGACGAACUGCGCCGGCGCCUGCAGACGUGGACAAGAACCGGCGGCGAGUCGCAGUGGAUCACUCGGGCAUCAGCGUGGGUGAGCACCGUCGGGGAGCUACGGUUGCUCGCACAGGCGUGGGCAAGCUAGGGCGGAGAGCUGCGGUGGCUUGCGCUGGCAGCGGUGAGGUUCACGACGAGCAACCCGUGACGACAAGAGCGAGGUGCCUAGAAAAUGGAAAACAAAAAGGGAAAGUAAUGAAAAAAGGAGAAAUUGCAUGGUAA